rnacentral:rRNA from 2 species
CAGACCUCUAAUCGGAAAAGACUACCCGCUGAGUUUAAGC